rnacentral:rRNA from 1 species
GAUCCUGGCUCAGAUUGAACGCUGGCGGCAUGCUUUACACAUGCAAGUCGAACGGCAGCGGGGGCUUCGGCCUGCCGGCGAGUGGCGAACGGGUGAGUAAUGCAUCGGAACGUACCCAGUCGUGGGGGAUAACUACGCGAAAGCGUAGCUAAUACCGCAUACGUCCUGAGGGAGAAAGCGGGGGACCGAAAGGCCUCGCGCGAUUGGAGCGGCCGAUGUCGGAUUAGCUAGUUGGUGGGGUAAAGGCCUACCAAGGCGACGAUCCGUAGCGGGUCUGAGAGGAUGAUCCGCCACACUGGGACUGAGACACGGCCCAGACUCCUACGGGAGGCAGCAGUGGGGAAUUUUGGACAAUGGGCGCAAGCCUGAUCCAGCCAUGCCGCGUGAGUGAAGAAGGCCUUCGGGUUGUAAAGCUCUUUCAGACGGAAAGAAAUCGCGCGGGCGAAUAACCUGCGUGGAUGACGGUACUGUCAGAA